UGGUCCAAUCAUACAUGGCUUAAGACCAGAUCCGCAUGCAGGGCUUCCAUUUUCCUGAUUCCAUGCCCUGCACCCAGACAAGCAUGUCACAAGUGUAAAUCAGAGCUACCCCGCUUGCUCUGCUGGUUCCGACCCUCUAAAGUCAGGCCUACCGCACUCUGCACACGGCCCUGUGGCUUCCACAGUAAGCUUUCCAACAGAGCUGGGAGAUAAAGCUUCAGAGCCAAUCCUGCUGGCCUGCCCCUUUACAAAGAGCUGACCAGAUCUCCACCACCUUCUGUUUUGCAUCAUACAAGGAGAAAAGGUAGAUGCCAGUUUUAGAUCUGACCUUGGCCAGCUACCACGCUCCACUCAGCGCCUUGAGGCAGGAACAGUAACACAGCCCUUAAAGCACGGGGGCCCUUAGUCCCAGCCAACUUUGCCAAACAAGCAGAGGAGAGCCUUCUGCUGGAGCCUCUCCAGCUUGCUGUGGGGGUGGUCAGGACUGGACAAAAGGCCCCCCCUCCUCUGGACUGCAUUACAGGAAAGGCCCAAGCAUCUCAGAAAGACCUUUGGAGAAAUCAUCCUUUUAGUCAUGGUUGUCACCCGACACCAGGAUGAAUUGACCUAUCCAAGGUCAGGCAAACACUAAUCACCAAGAAGGGGUAGGAAACCAGAUUCGUUGAGUCUCAAACGCUCCUUCCCACCACCCCUACUCUUCUCCUACAAGAAAAGAGAUGCGAUCAGGUACCCAAGAAGACGACAAAGAGGAACAUCUCCGUGGUCGCGCAGAAGGAGCCUCCCAGAGAUGCUGAGCUGCGAGAGCCCACGCUGCAGCAGCACGUGGCCCGAAAUCCUAGCGCCGCGAGCGGAAACCCGAGCGCCUUUAUCCUCUCUGCGCCCGAACCCGCCCCUCCGCUCACCAAUCCCUUUCUUCGGCCCGCGCCCGGGCGGCGGCUCCAGGUCAGCAAGGGGCCGGGGUGCGGGAGGGGUGUGUGCGGAGGGAGGGCUCCCGUUGCCUUGGCAACCCUUCCCCGCCAGUAUAGGCCUCCGCCUCCGACCGACCCGGUGGAGAAUUAAGCCACUGCGAGGGACGCGCGCGGUGUACCGGGCUUCGGCGGUGCCAGCCCGCCAGGCUUCACGGGGCACCUUCAGGGCGCUGGCAGCUCUGCGAGGGCGUCCCACUACACGGAAAUCGGCCCCGCCGUACGCCUGAGAACCGGCUCGGGCUGCUGUGGAGCGGCUCCGCUGGGAACCUGGGGAUGAAGGCGGGACGUCGAAGAGGAAGCUGGAAGGAUUGGCUCAGGAAAUACCCCGGGACCCGGAGACAGGAGACCUGGCUUUUUAACCUCUCAGGAGACUUCAGAGAUUAUGAAGGGCACCAUACCCCCUUCACAGUGGAAAAGGCAAAAACCCUUCCAGAAGCCAAGAGAGAGGCACUUCCAGUGGAUUUGAAUCCUGGUUGGAGUGGUUAGAGAGGCUGAAAACAGCAGAACCGGUCCCCAGCAACCGAGGUCCCCUCCAAGAAGCACUGAAAAAUACUCCAAUAUCUGGACAUACUACAGUUUAACCAUUCACCGCUCCCUUGUAAUCUUGGUUGCUUACAAGGAAUCUUGGUUGCUUCCAAGCUUUCUCAAUUGUGAAGAAAACAGCAGUAAAUAUCCAUGUGCAGGUUUUUGUGUGGACGUAAGUUUUCAACUCCUUUGGGUAAACACCCAGGAGAACAACUGCAGGAUUGUUUGGUAAGAGUAUGUUUAGUUUUGUGAGAAAACUCCCAAACUGUCUUCCAAAGUGGCUGUACCAUUUUGCAUUCCUACCAGCUAAUAAUAAAAGUGCUUGAUGCAUCUUCACCA